rnacentral:tRNA from 1 species
AGCCUUAUGGUGUAGUGGCAAGCAUACGGGCCUCUGGAGCCCGAGACCGCAGUUCGACUCUGCGUAGGGCUA